GUGGAUAGUCAAAGGGCUGCUGCGGGGCAUAGGGAGACCGAACCCGUAGAGGAAAGUCCGGACACCGAAACGCAAGCAUAGCGGGCAACGCCCGUCCAGGGAAACCUGCGGAUAAGAGCCACAGAGACGAGCCUGUUCAGUCAGGGUGAAACGCGGCAAUCUCUAUGCGGUGCAAGGCCAACUAGAAAGGCGAUACCCUGGCGUUUGGGGCCUUCGGGUAGGCUGCAAGGAUCCGUAUGGCAACAUGCGGACAAGAUUGAUAGCCCUUUUAACAGAAUCCGGCUUAUAGACUAUCCACGCGA
rnacentral:RNase_P_RNA from 1 species